GACAGGAACUCCCUUUUCUUUCUUAAAGAAAAAAAAAAAAAUCCUCUGUGGUUGGGACACAUGUCCCUACUAUCUCAAGAUAAUUCUUACUCAAGAAAACGAAGAAGAUCCCUCUGUAACAUUCUGCUUGCAAUUCAACUACCCUGGGCCGCAAAUGAAAUGGGAUAAUCACUGUGAUCCCUCUCAGUGAAACACCCCUCUGCUUGUUUUGUUCAAAUAACACUGUGGUUUUCUUUAACUUCCCUUUUCUAAGGGUGUCAAAAACAAAUGGUUUCUUGGGUUCUUACUUCCCAAAUUCUGUUGCUUGCAGAAAGUAAUGCCCACCUGAAAGGUGGUCCCGACCAAUCCCAGGCUGGGCUGCGCUGCCUACGGUCGAGGCCACUGCCCAGGCUGUGUGUGUACCGUGCCAGGAGGAGCAGCCCAGAGACGUCCUGGGAGAUGUGACGUGCCUUUCCCUGACCUCAAGAGAACUGUCAUUUGUCAGCUCCCAGGGCAAGCUCAGUGCCAGAUCCCUGUGGGUCUGUGCUGCUCUCUUUCCCUCUCGGCUGACGCCUCUCUCGUCCUCUUGGGAGCUGCUGAAACCCUUUGGUCACGCGGUUGGCUGAGCAGACUGCACCUGGUUAUCCUACCUUCCCGGCUGGCUGCAGGUGGAAAGUGGCCUGCUGUCCUCGCACCCUCCUGCCUGCCUCAGGGUCUGGUCCCAAGAAGGCCCUGAUACAGGCUGGAAAGCACCUCUGCUGACUGCUUUCGGUACUCAGUGGAACUAGACACCCCGGAAAGGUGGUUAAUUAUUGGACAGCCACUCAGUAUUUCAUUCUAACAAACGCUGCGCUCUAAGACCAGCAUGGGAGACCAGAGAGGAAAGCUGGAUGCAGUACCACCCGCUAACACAUUUUUAAGUGACAACACGUGGCCUUUUGAGAGAACAGCCCUCCAACCACACUUCAGGCUUAAAUGCCGCCUGGGCACCUGCUGGGUAUCGGGUUCUCUGUCAGGCGGGAAAUGAGUUGGUACCAGUCCUCGUGGAGUCACCGUCCACCAGGGAAACAGACGACAUGGGUGUCUCAUUCCAAUGGGAUCAACACUCAGCUCACUGCAGGUCCAUAUCCUCGGAGCAGAAGCACGAAGGGAAGGCAUGGUUUCCAUAAAGAUGAAUGAUUCCCUGUUGAAAACCCUGCGACCAGUCCUACAGCACAGAUGCGGAAGCCCUGCUCUGCCGAGGGCCGCCGGGGGGCUGUCCGGCUUCUUCCCAACGUGGUGCCCCUGCCGUCUGCUCACCCUCCACUCCAACUUCAACCACCUGCGCGCCCCCAAAUCCGCUGCACUUUCCACCAGGCCCCGUCUUUCCAAAUGCCACUGUCCCCAACCCUCCCAGCACUGGCAACCCUUCAACAGCCCCAGAAGACUUGUCUAUAGCUGACGAGAGCUGCCCUGCCCUGUGCCUGGCUCCCCACACUGGGCUCCAUGCCACAUGAGGGCAGGAAAUGGAGCCUCGCUUAUCUCUGUAUUUCAAGAACCUAGCCCAGGGGCUGGGCCGGGCAGAGGGACCGCUGAUACCUGCUGGCUGACUCAAAGAAAGGACGGCGUUGCCGUCUGGGCUCAUCUUCCCUUUAAGUCCCAGCACUGGUUUAGUCGGUCUUGGUGAACGCCCUUGUCCGAUUUCACCUGUGCGCCCCAUUCAGCUUAAACCAAAGGGUCACUUUCUAAGCUCAAGAGAGACAAACUUGUAAGUUCUUUUCCCUUUUGAUUAAAAAAAUUUGAGGCCAAUA